CUGACAGCGGUAUCGUCAAGUUCUCUUGAUUUUCGUUUCGUUCAGCUCUGUCAACUCGUAGCCCACAUAAGCUCCGAAGUCUACGAGCCACCCCGUGGUACCCGGGGCUCUUUCGGUGGGCACGGGACGACGAGGAUCAUCACUGAGGAAGAGGAGAAGAAGAAAAUACGAGGAGUAGGAGGAAGAUAAAAUACAGGGAUUCCCCCACCACUUGAUGAUGAGUUUACGCCGCGACGACAGGCGCGACACGUCGCGACUAAUGGAAAAUACGUACAUAUUUAUACGUACGUACCGUAUAAAUGAGUCACGUAAGUGGUGGUUGGUCGAUUGCACGCGGGGCGUACCGGAGCAAACACAUUUUUCUUCCAACGGGGAACCGAACAUUUUCUCUCUACCGCGAGUAGAAAUUUUCACGCACCAAAGUCCGAAUCUGGUAAUUGGAAGUGAUCCACCGCCGCUAGUCGAAGUCGAUCGUAUUUCGCGAUGUGAGGAAAAAUGUGAGGGGAGAGAAAAAAAAAACAAACGUAAAAGGAAACGCGAAAGCCGCAUCUGAUAAAGGAAACCGCACGAUAUAGAUGUAGGUACACGUGAGUACGUAAUUGUGUAAAAUCUCGAAAACCAGGAUACCGUGGUGAGUGUGGAAAAAAAAAAAAUAAUUAUCGUACACAUCCUUUUGUCAUCGUGGAGCUGGCUGUGAAUUGAUAGUAAUGAAAAUAAUAAACCUUGAUGGUAUUCUUGAUAUUAUAACUGACAAUAAUAUGCAUAGUUUUCACAAUGGUAGACUCGACAAUGGGACACCCUAAUUUGUUAAAGUAUAAAAUGUUGAAUAGAAUAUGAAACGAGGUUUUGAAAAAAAUUUGUCUGUCUCUUCUGUAUAGAAUUUUGAGCACCUCCGCAGCGAUGGUUGUGGGAGAAAAAAAAUAGAAGAAUGGCAGCGGAUCAUCCCGGAGAACAGACAGUGGGACAGUCAUAAGAAUUAUCUACGUUUAUGCUGAUCGUUCGAUAGGACGUAAGGGCCAUUCGUUGCAGUAUAGUUUGUAUGAUAAAAAAAAAAAUAAAUAAAUAAAUAACAAUA